rnacentral:rRNA from 1 species
GAUGAACGCUGGCGGCGUGCCUAAUACAUGCAAGUCGAGCGAACGGACGAGAAGCUUGCUUCUCUGAUGUUAGCGGCGGACGGGUGAGUAACACGUGGAUAACCUACCUAUAAGACUGGGAUAACUUCGGGAAACCGGAGCUAAUACCGGAUAAUAUUUUGAACCGCAUGGUUCAAAAGUGAAAGACGGUCUUGCUGUCACUUAUAGAUGGAUCCGCGCUGCAUUAGCUAGUUGGUAAGGUAACGGCUUACCAAGGCAACGAUGCAUAGCCGACCUGAGAGGGUGAUCGGCCACACUGGAACUGAGACACGGUCCAGACUCCUACGGGAGGCAGCAGUAGGGGAUCUUCCGCAAUGGGCGAAAGCCUGACGGAGCAACGCCGCGUGAGUGAUGAAGGUCUUCGGAUCGUAAAACUCUGUUAUUAGGGAAGAACAUAUGUGUAAGUAACUGUGCACAUCUUGACGGUACCUAAUCAGAAAGCCACGGCUAACUACGUGCCAGCAGCCGCGGUAAUACGUAGGUGGCAAGCGUUAUCCGGAAUUAUUGGGCGUAAAGCGCGCGUAGGCGGUUUUUUAAGUCUGAUGUGAAAGCCCACGGCUCAACCGUGGAGGGUCAUUGGAAACUGGAAAACUUGAGUGCAGAAGAGGAAAGUGGAAUUCCAUGUGUAGCGGUGAAAUGCGCAGAGAUAUGGAGGAACACCAGUGGCGAAGGCGACUUUCUGGUCUGUAACUGACGCUGAUGUGCGAAAGCGUGGGGAUCAAACAGGAUUAGAUACCCUGGUAGUCCACGCCGUAAACGAUGAGUGCUAAGUGUUAGGGGGUUUCCGCCCCUUAGUGCUGCAGCUAACGCAUUAAGCACUCCGCCUGGGGAGUACGACCGCAAGGUUGAAACUCAAAGGAAUUGACGGGGACCCGCACAAGCGGUGGAGCAUGUGGUUUAAUUCGAAGCAACGCGAAGAACCUUACCAAAUCUUGACAUCCUUUGACAACUCUAGAGAUAGAGCCUUCCCCUUCGGGGGACAAAGUGACAGGUGGUGCAUGGUUGUCGUCAGCUCGUGUCGUGAGAUGUUGGGUUAAGUCCCGCAACGAGCGCAACCCUUAAGCUUAGUUGCCAUCAUUAAGUUGGGCACUCUAAGUUGACUGCCGGUGACAAACCGGAGGAAGGUGGGGAUGACGUCAAAUCAUCAUGCCCCUUAUGAUUUGGGCUACACACGUGCUACAAUGGACAAUACAAAGGGCAGCGAAACCGCGAGGUCAAGCAAAUCCCAUAAAGUUGUUCUCAGUUCGGAUUGUAGUCUGCAACUCGACUACAUGAAGCUGGAAUCGCUAGUAAUCGUAGAUCAGCAUGCUACGGUGAAUACGUUCCCGGGUCU